GAUGAAGAACGCAGCGAAAUGCGAUACGUGAUGUGAAUUGCAGAAUUCAGUGAAUCAUCGAGUCUUUGAACGCACACUGCGCCCCCUGGUAUUCCGGGGGGCAUGCCUGUCCGAGCGUCAUUGCUGCCCUCAAGCACGGCUUGUGUGUUGGGCCUCCGUCCUCCUCCCGGGGGACGGGCCCGAAAGGCAGCGGCGGCACCGCGUCCGGUCCUCGAGCGUAUGGGGCUUCGUCACCCGCUCUUGUAGGCCCGGCCGGCGCUUGCCGACACAUCAAUCUUUUUUCCAGGUUGACCUCGGAUCAGGUAGGGAUACCCGCUGAACUUAAGCAUAUCAAUAAGCGGAGGA
rnacentral:misc_RNA from 1 species